UACGUAGGCAGCAAGCGUUGUUCGGAAUUACUGGGCGUAAAGAGUGUGUAGGCGGUGUUCUAAGUUUGUCGUGAAAUCUCCCGGCUUAACUGGGAGGGUGCGGCGAAAACUGGAAUGCUAGAGGAUGGGAGAGGUAAGCGGAAUUCCUGGUGUAGCGGUGAAAUGCGUAGAUAUCAGGAGGAACACCGGUGGCGAAAAGCGGCUUCCUGGCCCGACACUGACGCUCAUGUACGAAAGCGUGGGGAGCAAACAGG
rnacentral:rRNA from 1 species